AGCAGCCGCGGUAAUUCCAGCUCCAAUAGCGUAUAUUAAAGUUGUUGCAGUUAAAAAGCUCGUAGUUGAAUUUCGGGAUCAAUAUGUUGGUCGUGCCUUGGUACGUACUGGCAUCGUUGGUUUCUCCUUUCUGAAGAACCAUGAUGUCAUUUAUUUGGUGUCGUGGGGAAUCAGGACUGUUACUUUGAAAAAUUAGAGUGUUUAAAGCAGGCUCACGCUUGAAUACAUUAGCAUGGAAUAAUGAAAUAGGACGUUUGAUUCUAUUUUGUUGGUUUCUAGGAUCGACGUAAUGAUUAAUAGGGAUAGUUGGGGGCAUUAGUAUUCAA
rnacentral:rRNA from 1 species